rnacentral:tRNA from 1 species
AUUCAAAUAGCUUAUAGACUAGAGUAUAAUAUUGAAGAUGUUAGGGAGAUUUUUUUAAUCUUUGAAUA